UGGUGAUGGCGCAAAUACAUUCCGUGCUUCUUCUAGAGGGAUCAUCUAGAAAGCGAGUCGUUUUGAAUUGAAUAUUUUCAAACAAAAAGCUGACAUAGAUGUUAUGGACAAAGGGUCGCGAUCCCGCGAGGGUGAGCUAACUCCAAAAACCCGUCCUCAGUUCGGAUUGCAGGCUGCAACUCGCCUGCAUGAAGCCGGAAUCGCUAGUAAUCGCCGGUCAGCCAUACGGCGGUGAAUCCGUUCCCGGGCCUUGUACA
rnacentral:lncRNA from 1 species